AAUAAGCGGAGGAAAAGAAACUAACAAGGAUUCCCUUAGUAACUGCGAGUGAAGUGGGAAAAGCUCAAAUUUAGAAUCUGGCAGUCACUUGGCUGUCCGAGUUGUAAUCUAGAGAAGUGUUGCCCGUGCUGGACCAUGUACAAGUCUCCUGGAAUGGAGCAUCACAGAGGGUGAGAAUCCUGUCUUUGACAUGGACUGCCAGUGCUUUUGUGGUAYGCUCUCAAAGAGUCGAGUUGUUUGGGAAUGCAGCUCAAAAUGGGUGGUAAAUGCCAUCUAAAGCUAAAUAUUGGCGAGAGACCGAUAGCGAACAAGUACCGUGAGGGAAAGAUGAAAAGAACUUUGGAAAGAGAGUUAAACAGUACGUGAAAUUGCUGAAAGGGAAACGCUUGAAGUCAGUCAYGUUGACUCGGAAUCAGCUCUGCUUUUGCUGGGUGUACUUUCUUGUCAAUGGGUCAGCAUCAAUUUUKACCAUUGGAUAAAGUUGCUGGGAAUGUAGCAUCCUUUUGGAUGUGUUAUAGCCUGGUGAUGCAUACAGUGGUUGGGAUUGAGGAAUUCAGCACGCCACCAGGCCGGGUUUUGACCAYGUUCGUGCUUAGGAUGCUGGCAUAAUGGCUUUAAUUGACCCGUCUUGAAACACGGACCAAGGAGUCUAACAUAUCUGCGAGUGUUUGGGUGGAAAACCCAUGUGCGUAAUGAAAGUGAAAGUUGAGAUCCCUUCAGGGAGCAUCGACGCCCGGACCAGACCUUUUGUGACGGAUCCGCGGUAGAGCAUGUAUGUUGGGACCCGAAAGAUGGUGAACUAUGCCUGAAUAGGGUGAAGCCAGAGGAAACUCUGGUGGAGGCUCGUAGCGAUUCUGACGUGCAAAUCGAUCGUCAAAUUUGGGUAUAGGGGCGAAAGACUAAUCGAACCAUCUAGUAGCUG
rnacentral:rRNA from 1 species